GGUGAAGCUUUCCCUUGUGAACCUGGAAUCUUCUGAUAUGGGUGUGGUAGGAUAACUAACCUCUGAUUACCUGAAAAUCUGUGCCCUUUCUCACUGUGGCCUGUCUUAGCCCAUACUAACAGCCUCUCACCUCGUGGUCCCAGCCUGCAAAUGAGGAGCCUGAUGGCAGCGUGCCACUGUUGAAGUAACAAGCACACUCACUGUGGUGUGCUCAGAGCUGCUGGGGCUGGAGAUGAAAGAUGAACAUAAAUCAGCCAGCCUGAUGUGGGGCUGUGCCUGCUGCCAGUUUGUAAAUGAUUCCUGUCAGUUUCAAGCCAGAAAGUGCAGAAACCUGAAUGCUAUUAGGAAUUGUUCAGCUGGAGCAUCCAGCAGCCUCUCUAUGUCUUUGUGUACAGAAAUUGCCUCCUGGGUAAUGCCAUCCUUUGCAUGCUGAGCAUUGAAUCAACAGAUGUCCAGUUUCCGUCGCUGUAGAAGUAAAAUCUACUGCAGAAAUCUUUCCUGCAGGUAGCUCCACAUUGGUGAAGCGAGCCAGGAAUAUUUCACCUGACUGCAAAAGUGUCAAACACAGCAUCCACUAAGCACAGUGCUGCUAUCACUGCUGCUAGAUGUCCUCAGACAACCUUGUCAGAAUAAAUGUGGAUGCACAGGUGCACUCUGUGGCCUCAGAUGGCUGUGUGGAGAUCCAGGUGUGCCUUGCUGUGUGUAGAGCUGGAAGAUGGGAGGAAUAGGAUCACUACACAGUCAUCUUGCAGUGUUGGUUUGGGGCAGCAUUUGCUCAGCACAGAACAAGGCAAAGGGAGAUGGGAUGGUCUGGGGCCCAUGAAGGUACUGCAUGCAGCCUGCAGAUGAACAGGCUUUACCUCUGUUGUGAGGGUGAGACUGCUGUGUGGAUGGGAAGCACCAAGUCAGUCAGAUGGUGAAGCAGGCCUGAUCCCGUUAUCCAGCAUGUGCUCUACUUUUAUGUAUUAUAACUGUGUAGGAGAACAGGUUAAAUGCAGAGCUGUCUGGAGUUUGCUGCUAAGAAGUGAAGGAGGUGCCUGGGAAUGGUGCCACCUGCACAGGGUCAGCAGCCCACCUGCAGAGACAGAGAUGCUGCUGCCAUAGCAUUCACAGUGAAAGCCAGGGUAGAUCUGCACAUCCCACCCUGACAGGUGAUGUAUAAGCAUAUGGCUGGAGGAAAUGGACUAUUUGGGGUGUAGAGGAAGGGCUACACAUGCACAGGCAAAGGGAAGAGAUCUGGUGUGGCUGGACAAGAUCAUCAACUAGCAAGAGAAGAUAUCAGUGAUGAUUUUUAACAAACCAUUAAAUGGUUGCCUUAGAGACAAGAUUGAAAAAGCCUCGACUGACCCAGAGGAGAAGGGCAAGAAGUCCCCAACAGGCCAGCAAAGCAGUCCUGUCAGCAUGAAAUUACCCAAAGAGGAAAACAACUCUGCACCAGCAUGCCAGGUUCCUUUCACCUGCUAGGAUAUCACUUGUUUCUGAAGCUGCAUGGACUGACUCAGAGCCUUGCGGCGGUCUCCUGGGGCUGCUGGGAGUGGUGCACUUGGGUGCACUUGCACCGAGACGCGGGACAUCCUCAGCCGCGCUGCAAGAAACCAGGUAAGCAGGCAGCGUGUCACCGAGCCUGCAGAGGCGCUCGGCGUUUUGUUGCACCAGGUCCUUACGGGCUGUGGUUGUUUCUGAACUGUGAACUCCCCCAGCUGGCGAACGUGUGCUAUUACCAUGAGCCACCUUAACCUCGUGUUCAAAAUGUCGCUGUGAGGACAUGCUGCAAGAAGGUCCCAGAAACUCAGCAGGCUAUCCAAGGCAUUGCUGUUUUGGUCUGUGAAUUUGUAAGGAGCUGAUGGCCAACGUGUGGCCUUCUCUGCUGAAAGAGAGAAUGAGAGAAUCAGAAUUGCUGCCUCUCUUGGUGCUUUCAUCGAGGUGCUGGUGCCCUACUCCCUGCAGGAACAUUCCCUGGGUCCCUGUGUAUACUUGCCAUGCUAUCCUUGUCCAAAAGUCAUUCUAACCCUCAGCUGAAAGUAACUUUUCAGCUUUCCUUCAGAUCACUCAAUUUAGUUGAAUUCACAGAGCCAUGCCCUGGAAUCCACUACCUUAACCCACCCAUCACGUGUCACCUCUGGUUGCCUGGUUUGAACACUGACAGCAUCUAGCUGGGAUCAGUUUUGCAUAUAGUAUCUGACAAUCAUGCACGUGGCCUUGGGACAGACAGGCAAAAUCUGCCCAAGAAGAAGUCAUCAGCAAACAGUACACUUGGCCUGCUGUUUUUCUUAAGGAAUUACAAUGAAAGUUCAUCAAGAGGCACCUGUUUGUUUGAAGAGAUGCAGCUAGUGAAAAGAACCAUGUUAUCCUCUCAUUGUCAUCUAUGUCAUGGGGUUGAAGCCACAGUAUCUAAGCAGAGGACUUUGCAACACAAACCUUGAGCCUUCUGGGGCUGCCAUAAUGCAUAAUGGAUAGUUCUCUGCAGGUCACAGGCAGUUCCUUUCACUGUUCUCGUAGUGUGGGCCAAGAAUGAUGGAGCAGCCUGGGUGCGGUGGAUGCGAACAGCCUUGUGUAAAGAAAGAGAACUGCAGAAGCAGCAAUGGUUGCAUGUUACAAUGGCAUCACGUUCAGUCUUUUGUGAUAAGGGAGGAGUACAUGGGAAACAGCACCACUGACAGGAGGGUCAAUCUGGACAAAUGGCUCAAAGUAUGCGAGUUAUCUGACCUUUCAGUAGGUGAAAAGGCAAAGCUGCAGCAUCUGGUGGCCUCCAAGAGGGGAAGAGGAAGCAGGGAGUACUGAGUGUGUAUGUCUGCCUGAGGAAGGCAAAUGAUGUGGGUAGAGGACAGACAUGUCUGGGUGGACCACAGUGUGUGUCAUAACUCUAAACCAAGUAGCUGCCCCUGAGGGUUGGGUAGGGUGAGGGAGGAGACAAGACCACAUCUGGAGGUGGUGGCUGGAACUGCUGCAAGCAGACCAGGCGCUGACUUAGUGCUGGGGUAUGUUUGCAAAGGGUCAGCACACAGCUCCCCAGUGACUGCUUGCACUGAGAGCAGCAGAACAGGGCAGACACCAC